rfam:Ricinus communis cultivar Hale ctg_1100012361712, whole genome shotgun sequence.
AAACCAUGAUAUGGAUAGCUCCUUAGUAAAUCCUUAAAACGUUCCCAGUAAUCAUACAAGGUCUCAUUCUCUUGCUGAAGAAACCUUGCUAUGUCAUUCCUCAAGUU